rnacentral:rRNA from 1 species
AUUGAACGCUGGCGGCAUGCCUAACACAUGCAAGUCGAGCGGAGGAAGUUAGCUUGCUCCUGGAUGCAGCGGCGGACGGGAGAGGAAUGCCAAGGAAUCUGCCUGUGGGGGGGGGAUAACGUCCGGAAACGGGCGCUAAUACCUCAUACGUCCUGAGCGUGAAAGUGGGGGGUCUUCUGACCUCUCGCUAUCAGCUAAGCCUAGAUCGGAUGAGCUAGUUGGUGGGGUAAAGGCCUACCAAGGCGACGAUCCGUAACUGGUCUGAGAGGAUGAUCAGUCAAACUGGAAUUGAGACACGGUCAAGACUCCUACGGGAGGCAGCAGUGGGGAAUAUUCGACAUUGGGCGAAAGCCUGCUCCACAAAUGCCGCGUGUGUGAAGAAGGUCUUCGGAUUGUAAAGCACUUUAAGUUGGGCGGAAGGGCAGUAAGUUAAUACCUUGCUGUUUUGACGUUAGCAACAGAAUAAGCACCGGCUAACUUCGUG